rnacentral:rRNA from 5 species
UUAAAUUGAAGAGUUUGAUCAUGGCUCAGAUUGAACGCUGGCGGCAGGCCUAACACAUGCAAGUCGAACGGUAACAGGAAGCAGCUUGCUGCUUCGCUGACGAGUGGCGGACGGGUGAGUAAUGUCUGGGAAACUGCCUGAUGGAGGGGGAUAACUACUGGAAACGGUGGCUAAUACCGCAUAACGUCGCAAGACCAAAGAGGGGGACCUUCGGGCCUCUUGCCAUCAGAUGUGCCCAGAUGGGAUUAGCUAGUUGGUGAGGUAACGGCUCACCAAGGCGACGAUCCCUAGCUGGUCUGAGAGGAUGACCAGCCACACUGGAACUGAGACACGGUCCAGACUCCUACGGGAGGCAGCAGUGGGGAAUAUUGCACAAUGGGCGCAAGCCUGAUGCAGCCAUGCCGCGUGUAUGAAGAAGGCCUUCGGGUUGUAAAGUACUUUCAGCGGGGAGGAAGGUGUUGUGGUUAAUAACCGCAGCAAUUGACGUUACCCGCAGAAGAAGCACCGGCUAACUCCGUGCCAGCAGCCGCGGUAAUACGGAGGGUGCAAGCGUUAAUCGGAAUUACUGGGCGUAAAGCGCACGCAGGCGGUCUGUCAAGUCGGAUGUGAAAUCCCCGGGCUCAACCUGGGAACUGCAUUCGAAACUGGCAGGCUUGAGUCUUGUAGAGGGGGGUAGAAUUCCAGGUGUAGCGGUGAAAUGCGUAGAGAUCUGGAGGAAUACCGGUGGCGAAGGCGGCCCCCUGGACAAAGACUGACGCUCAGGUGCGAAAGCGUGGGGAGCAAACAGGAUUAGAUACCCUGGUAGUCCACGCCGUAAACGAUGUCUACUUGGAGGUUGUGCCCUUGAGGCGUGGCUUCCGGAGCUAACGCGUUAAGUAGACCGCCUGGGGAGUACGGCCGCAAGGUUAAAACUCAAAUGAAUUGACGGGGGCCCGCACAAGCGGUGGAGCAUGUGGUUUAAUUCGAUGCAACGCGAAGAACCUUACCUGGUCUUGACAUCCACAGAACUUUCCAGAGAUGGACUGGUGCCUUCGGGAACUGUGAGACAGGUGCUGCAUGGCUGUCGUCAGCUCGUGUUGUGAAAUGUUGGGUUAAGUCCCGCAACGAGCGCAACCCUUAUCCUUUGUUGCCAGCGGUUAGGCCGGGAACUCAAAGGAGACUGCCAGUGAUAAACUGGAGGAAGGUGGGGAUGACGUCAAGUCAUCAUGGCCCUUACGACCAGGGCUACACACGUGCUACAAUGGCGCAUACAAAGAGAAGCGACCUCGCGAGAGCAAGCGGACCUCAUAAAGUGCGUCGUAGUCCGGAUUGGAGUCUGCAACUCGACUCCAUGAAGUCGGAAUCGCUAGUAAUCGUGGAUCAGAAUGCCACGGUGAAUACGUUCCCGGGCCUUGUACACACCGCCCGUCACACCAUGGGAGUGGGUUGCAAAAGAAGUAGGUAGCUUAACCUUCGGGAGGGCGCUUACCACUUUGUGAUUCAUGACUGGGGUGAAGUCGUAACAAGGUAACCGUAGGGGAACCUGCGGUUGGAUCACCUCCUUACCUUAAAGAA